GAUGAACGCUAGCUACAGGCUUAACACAUGCAAGUCGAGGGGCAGCAUGGUCUUAGCUUGCUAAGGCCGAUGGCGACCGGCGCACGGGUGAGUAACACGUAUCCAACCUGCCGUCUACUCUUGGACAGCCUUCUGAAAGGAAGAUUAAUACAAGAUGGCAUCAUGAGUCCGCAUGUUCACAUGAUUAAAGGUAUUCCGGUAGACGAUGGGGAUGCGUUCCAUUAGAUAGUAGGCGGGGUAACGGCCCACCUAGGCAGCGAUGGAUAGGGGUUCUGAGAGGAAGGUCCCCCACAUUGGAACUGAGACACGGUCCAA
rnacentral:rRNA from 1 species